GCUCCAACCCUACCACGGGACUUCCGGCUCCGUGCUCUCUCGUCCAUAAACACCCACCGAUUGAGUUUUUUAGAACGCAGCACGGAGCAGGUCGGCUGGACAGCUGGAGUCACGAGACUGAGGUGCCAGAAAAGAAGGAGUUACAGAAAUGUCUCAGCUGAAAGUCUACUGAACACCAGCCACCACCAAACAUGAAGCCAAGGAAUGGACAGAGGUGAUCUUAAAAAGUACUCACAUGUGCAGCGGAUGUCAAAGAGUGGUCAACAAACCUCCAAACAUGUUGGUUCAUGCAUCAGCGCAGCAUGGUCAAAAUCCCACCACAGGCCGCCGUGCUGCAGGUUAGAGAGGGGUAAAAAGAGUGGGAGAACCUCCUCCUCGUCCCUUCAGGAGGAGCAUCCUCGCUUCUGAUCCAUCAGCCUGCAGGAGAUGUAGCAAACAGGAUUGCUGCUUCCUCGGGGGAUUUGGCCAACUGCCCUAGCGUGGACUUUUCAUACAUGGAAACUAAGAAGACUCACUGUGGACCUGUCGAUCCAUCUGCUGCUGUCUUCAUAUUCACGUCAAAUAUGAGCCCAGAUUUGACCUUCUCUCAAAACUACCAUACUCAUCUCUGAGGAGAGAACCAGUCUAUUGUUUAUCAGAUCAUAAGCAGAAAAAUCACAGCAGUAUGUUAUGAACAGAUUCAUCUUAACUGUCUGUAAAACCUGCACUGAGAGCUGCAGGAGACUCCUUUGAAUCCUUAAGCCACCUUAGAAAUUUCAUUAGUUUGACUUUCAGUGGAACAUUUUACUUUCCCAAGAUGGUUUGAACCUUUUUAUUGAAGGUUUCCUCUCAGUGAUGAAAACGUCUCAUGUUUUCUGAAUAAAAUGACUGGAAAUA